AAAGCAGACAUAGUGGUUGUCCUGGUAACCAGGGGGGUGGGUCGCUGCCUUGCCAAAGGGAUUGAAGUUCAGUCGGGCCAAAGGGGAAAGUGAUCUAGCCACUUUCACCGGAUCCACGCCAGGGCUUGCCAAUUUACUGGAUUCUCCCCGGACCAGUCUCUGCGACGAGGUGAAGGUGGGAUGGUUGUCCAUAGGGGUACCCACUCAACUCCAAAUAAAGAGCAAUUUGC
rnacentral:lncRNA from 1 species